rnacentral:rRNA from 1 species
GACGUAGGAGGCGAGCGUUGUCCGGAUUCAUUGGGCGUAAAGAGCGCGUAGGCGGCUAGAUAAGUCCGGUGUGAAAGUCACAGGCUCAACCUGUGAAUGCCGCUGGAAACUGUCUGGCUAGAGUCCGGAAGGGGCGAGUGGAAUUCCUGGUGUAGCGGUGAAAUGCGCAGAUAUCAGGAGGAACACCAAUGGCGAAGGCAGCUCGCUGGGACGGUACUGACGCGUGAGGCGACGGAAAGCCCAGGGGAGCAAACGGG